ACAAACAAAAUAACUAUCCAGCACAAACCAAAACAUGGUUACACAAGUUUAUCACAUCUAUUUUCACCUAUAGAGAUAAAUUUCCAUCCGAUUCUCCUUCCAUUCUCUCUCUGUUCCCAUCCCCACCUCUCUCUCUCUUUCUCAUUCCUCUUCUCCUUCAAAUGUAAAUAUCUCUCAACCCACCUUGAUCAACCUCAUUUUCUUUCACGAGUUUUGUUUUUCAUAAUUCUUUUGAAUUAAAUAAUUAAUUUGAUUGUAGUUUGGUUUAUACAAAGAUCAUGAGUAAGUGUUUGAGUAGCCAAUUAUCCAAAAGGGUCGAUGGAGAACCUGAUUGUGGAUUAAAAUUAUGUUGCAUUGGGGUCGACCGUAGCUGGUCUGGAAAUCUUACACCGCCACCAUAUGAACAAAUUGGGAAUGGGUCGUCUGUGCCUACAAGUAAAGGCCGACGAGGUCAUCGUCGAAGAAUUCAUAGUACAGGUAUUCUUGCAUUUGAAGGAAGAAAUGGAGAAUCAGGAGAACCUAGGUUGAUGAGGAGCUGUGGUAUGAGAAGGGAUUGGAGCUUUGAGAAUUUAAGACAGAUUAUGGAGGAAGCAUAACCAAAAUUUGGAGAAAGGGAGAGAGAUUGACGAUUGUUUGUGUGAGAGGCAAAAGGGUACAUUAUGAUGAUUCUUAUGCGUAUGUAUGGAUUUUUCUUAGGUUUUCAAAUACUGGAAUGAUGGAAAUAUUCUUAGGUAAUAAGGAUUAUGAGGCUUACAUCAACAUUCCAGGAUUUAUAUAUACUAGAAAUAACCCAUGCCAUAACGGCACGGCAUGAGGUUAACAGAAAGUUCUAAUAAAUAUCUAGAGAUAGCUCGUGCCGUAACGACACUGCUUUAAUAUGAUAUAUGUCUGGUGUAAUUUUUUUUUUCGGGCUUUAAAUCGUGCUCCUUUGCAAGAUAGUUUUUUAUUUUGUUUUAAGCGAAAAUAAUGUUUAUAAGUACAUUGUAAAGUUAUUCAUAUACAUUAUCCAAAAACGAACACAAAAUCAUCUAACUAA